AUUAGAUACCCUGGUAGUCCACACGGUAAACGAUGAAUACUCGCUGUUUGCGAUAUACUGCAAGCGGCCAAGCGAAAGCGUUAAGUAUUCCACCUGGGGAGUACGCCGGCAACGGUGAAACUCAAAGGAAUUGACGGGGGCCCGCACAAGCGGAGGAACAUGUGGUUUAAUUCGAUGAUACGCGAGGAACCUUACCCGGGCUUAAAUUGCAGAUGAAUUACGGUGAAAGCCGUAAGCCGCAAGGCAUCUGUGAAGGUGCUGCAUGGUUGUCGUCAGCUCGUGCCGUGAGGUGUCGGCUUAAGUGCCAUAACGAGCGCAACCCUUGUUGUCAGUUACUAACAGGUUCCGCUGAGGACUCUGACAAGACUGCCAUCGUAAGAUGUGAGGAAGGUGGGGAUGACGUCAAAUCAGCACGGCCCUUACGUCCGGGGCUACACACGUGUUACAAUGGGGGGUACAGAGGGCCGCUACCACGCGAGUGGAUGCCAAUCCCCAAAACCUCUCUCAGUUCGGACUGGAGUCUGCAACCCGACUCCACGAAGCUGGAUUCGCUAGUAAUCGCGCAUCAGCCACGGCGCGGUGAAUACGUUCCCGGGCCUUGUACACACCGCCCGUCAAGCCAUGGGAGCCGGGGGUACCUGAAGUGCGUAACCGCGAGGAGCGCCCUAGGGUAAAACUGGUGACUGGGGCUAAGUCGUAACAAGGUAAC
rnacentral:rRNA from 1 species